GAUGAACGCUGGCGGCAGGCCUAACACAUGCAAGUCGAGCGGAUGAGUGGAGCUUGCUCCAUGAUUCAGCGGCGGACGGGUGAGUAAUGCCUAGGAAUCUGCCUGGUAGUGGGGGACAACGUUUCGAGAGGAACGCUAAUACCGCAUACGUCCUACGGGAGAAAGUGGGGGAUCUUCGGACCUCACGCUAUCAGAUGAGCCUAGGUCGGAUUAGCUAGUUGGUGAGGUAAAGGCUCACCAAGGCGACGAUCCGUAACUGGUCUGAGAGGAUGAUCAGUCACACUGGAACUGAGACACGGUCCAGACUCCUACGGGAGGCAGCAGUGGGGAAUAUUGGACAAUGGGCGAAAGCCUGAUCCAGCCAUGCCGCGUGUGUGAAGAAGGUCUUCGGAUUGUAAAGCACUUUAAGUUGGGAGGAAGGGCAGUAAGUUAAUACCUUGCUGUUUUGACGUUACCAACAGAAUAAGCACCGGCUAACUUCGUGCCAGCCGCCGCCGUAAAAC
rnacentral:rRNA from 1 species